rnacentral:rRNA from 1 species
UACGUAGGGUGCGAGCGUUAUUCGGAAUUACUGGGCGUAAAGCGUGCGUAGGCGGUUCGUUAUGUCUGCUGUGAAAUCCCCGGGCUCAACCUGGGAAUGGCAUUUGGGACUGCAAGGCUGGAGUGCGGCAGAGGAGACUGGAAUUCCUGGUGUAGCAGUGAAAUGCGUAGAUAUCAGGAGGAAUACCGAUGGCGAAGGCAGGUCUCUGGGCUGACACUGACGCUCAUGCACGAAAGCGUGGGGAGCAAACAGG